rnacentral:lncRNA from 1 species
UGAAAUGAAUUAUGAUAAUGUCGAUAGAUUUAGGGGGCUUCCUUAAGGAAAAGGAAAAAAACCUCCACAGCAUUUUUCAAGGCAACAUUAGAAUAGAUAAGAGAUGGAAGCAGAGAUACACAAAACACUGAGUUGGAAGCGUCCCAUAAGGAUCUCUGGGUCCAAUCCCUUCAUGCAGCACUCUUGAAGGUCCGGGGCUGUGCUCCGCGGUUACAUAGGGAGCUGCCCUCACUUCAUGCUGCCGCUGGGUGAGGCAGAAAUAAGAAAUCUUGGGGGCACAGAACCGAGAGGAACCGCUUCCCCCCGCAGCACGUGGGGACCAUCACGCCUCACAGCAAAGCCGUCUAUUCGCCACUUCAGCAAAUGAGCGGCGGCGAAUCGAUAGCGGAUCAAUCCCGUUCGCGGUGUCACUCAGCGCACGGUGCCGCUGCACAAAAGCAGGAAGGUGGGAACCGAGCGCUCACUUCGCAGCGACCCGAGGCGAAGCGCACAACCUGAGCAUCCCUCCCGGUAGCAUCCCAGAUCUGCGGAGCGUGGGAGCUCGGGGACUGCCGGCAGUGGCCCUUGGUGGUUUCUACAGGGAUAAUUGCUGUUCAUGGAGCAUUUGUUGGAUGCAAAAGCUGAAAACCCUGUGCAGUGAGGCAAGCCAGCACAGCUCAGUGUGUGGACUUUCAGGAGCUUUUCUGCAAUAAGGAAGCAGGAAGAUCUACAAGAGAAAAAUACAUGAAGGCAUCUGUGAAGCAAAUUGCUUUUAUUAUCUACAGCAUUGAGGUGCAAGUCUUCUCUUAAAUUACAAACUGUUUCUCUGUGCAUUGGCUGCUUCAUAAAUAUAUAUAAUGCUACAUUAUUCCCAAUGGGCACCUGAUUGCCCACCGUAAGUCAUAACUUUUUUCAUAAAAUCAUCACUGAUCAUUGAAACUUGCUUUUGUUUUCAGCUUUGAGUGGGAAAGACUUGCAUGGGCAUUCCUGGUCCCUCUACUGGUUCCAGCUGCAUGAAAUCUUUUUUAAUAUAAUCUCAAUUAACAAUUGAAGCACCGUGAAAUAGCUGAAAACUCCAUUUCUAGUUUUGGAUACCAAAAUGUACUAACAAAUACUCAAACGUUCUUUGGCUUAUUUGGAAUUGCUUGAUGUAAAAUGACCUCAGGAUAUUAGGCUAUUUACUUACAAUACAAAUAGACGUUUAAACACUGACAUUUUAAAUCAUUGGACCCUAUGUGCCAAUGAAGCAAUUUACUUAACACAUGGCGAGCCACAGCUUUGUGUCAUAGUGCAGAGGCGCCAAGUCUGAAGUGGAAAUUCACCCUUCAUUGUGCUCAGUUGGCUGGUGCUGGAUUAACAGCAGGACCUAAUAAGCCAUGGACUGUUUGAAUUAAGAAUGAGAUGGCAUUCUGAGCCAGCACUGACUGUUGCCACCACCUUCCUGUAGGUACUCUAAAUUAGGGCAGUAUCACCUCAUUAUUGCUUUUAAUAAAUAUUAAUUCUCACUGAGUCA